rnacentral:tRNA from 1 species
GGGCCGUUAGCUCAACUGGCAGAGCAACUGACUCUUAAUCAGUAGGUUGAAGGUUCGAUUCCUUCACGGCCCACCA